rnacentral:misc_RNA from 1 species
AUAUAUAUAUAUAUAUGCACAUGCAUGCUCACACACACACAUUGAAAAUUAGUUUGACCUCAAUUCAAUUAAAGUUAAGUUGAAUUCAAAUGUAGGAGAGCCUGAAUAGCUUGAUGACGUUGAUAUCAACAGUGAUCAAUGAAUGGCAAUGUCAGUUUUUAUUUACAUAAGAGGAAAUUGAUGGUAGGAAUAUGUGUGUGUUUGAAAGCCUCUUUUCUUUCUCUUACAAGUAUACUCUGUUUCAUACUACGAGGAUGCAUCAGAUUUCAACCUACACAACCUACACAUUCUGUCUUCAACUUGGAAAAUUUAUUUACUCUCUUUUUCCCCCUUUUCUUUGGUUCUAAUUUUAAUAAAUUCUCAUACAUAACUUGAUUGCAUUUUGUUUUGAUUGAUGAACUUGCUGUGUGUCCACAGUUAUAAGGAAGAUAUCUUUCAAUUAUUAUUAUCAUUAUUACCAUUAUUAUUAUUCUGUUUUUGACUUUUACCACUUUAAUCAUCAGGUUUCAAGCUGGAGAG